rnacentral:misc_RNA from 1 species
AAGUCGUAACAAGGUUUCCGUAGGUAUGUAAAAAUUCUUUCCAACUCCAACAUAUUCAAUGCUAACGAUUUACAGGUGAACCUGCGGAAGGAUCAUUAACGGCUUUCCUGCUCUGCAGGAAUUCCCACCCUUGGCUAUAGACUGUUGCUCCGGCGAGACGCUGUACGCAGCCAUUGGCGGUCGGAGACUUGGCGCUCUAGGGCAAAGGGUCUGCGCUAGCAAUGUGAGCUCGCCGGAGACUUUCAUACUCUUGAUUAUGUAUCGUCAGAGAAACAAGCAAAUAUAUAAAAA